UGCAGUCGAGUGCGCAGUCUGCUGUAGCAAUACAGCAGAUCGGCGCACGGCGCACGGGUGCGUAACACGUGGGUAACCUGCCCUCCAAAGGGGGAUAACCCGCCGAAAGGCGGGCUAAUACCGCAUGACAUUCCGGUGGCUUCGGCCGCUGGAAUCAAAGCCCGCAAGGGCGUUGGGGGAGGGGCCCGCGGCCGAUUAGCUUGUUGGCGAGGUAACGGCUCACCAAGGCUUUGAUCGGUAGCCGGUCUGAGAGGAUGGCCGGCCACACUGGAACUGAGACACGGUCCAGACUCCUACGGGAGGCAGCAGUGGGGAAUCUUGCGCAAUGGGCGAAAGCCUGACGCAGCGACGCCGCGUGGGGGAUGAAGCUUCUCGGAGUGUAAACCCCUUUCGACCCGGACGAAACGCCCGCAAGGGCUUGACGGUACGGGUAUAAGAAGCCCCGGCUAACUACGUGCCAGCAGCCGCGGUAAGACGUAGGGGGCCAGCGUUGCUCGGAAUUACUGGGCGUAAAGGGUUCGUAGGCGGUGUGGUAAGUCGGAAGUGAAAUCUCUGGGCAUAACUCAGAGGCUGCUUUCGAAACUGCCGCGCUAGAGUGCGGGAGAGGCGAGUGGAAUUACAGGUGUAGCGGUGAAAUGCGUAGAUAUCUGUAGGAACACCCGUGGCGAAGGCGGCUCGCUGGACCGCAACUGACGCUGAGGAACGAAAGCUAGGGGAGCAAACAGGAUUAGAUACCCUGGUAGUCCUAGCCCUAAACCAUCAGGACUUGGGGUGGCCCGCGUUGGCGGGUCGUCCCGGAGCUAACGCGUUAAGUCCUGCGCCUGGGGAGUACGGUCGCAAGGCUGAAACUCAAGGAAUUGACGGGGGCCCGCACAAGCGGUGGAACAUGUGGUUC
rnacentral:rRNA from 1 species